GGAGCUACCAGUUACAGAUCCAUCCUCUUUAAUUUCUUCUUAAAUCUUUCUUCCACGAUUCACCAUGAAUGAGAGCUUUAGUCAUCCAAAGCGGUGGAAUCUAUUUUUAAAAAUGUAAGCUUUCUUUCUAUGAGAACCAUCCACUAUUCGGUUUACACAAACCAAUAUACUUACUUCCUAACACAACAAUCUUUUUGUCUGACUUGACGACCAAAUGAUGGUCCUCCACCGUUCAUGUGAGGGUGCUCUGUUUCUCGGAGGCCAGAAACGUCCGAUGCGGUGGCAAAUUCAUAGGAGUGGAUAUUCUGCUUCUGGAUUCACAGUGGAAGCGGCCAAUGUGUUAUUGAAGAAUGUUAAACUUCGACGCGUAUAUCGUAUUCGAGUGUACUAAGCAUAAUAUUGGUACGGUGCAAAGACAGCAUAGGCGACAAACAGACAAACGCAUGGCUUAGAACGGAGUGGACAGUUUUCAAGAUCAGAC